GUCGACGCCGACACCGACAGGAUUAGGGCUCCAGCUCCGGCGAUCGUUGGUGUCACUUGAGGAGGAAGCUGCUGGAUUGAGCGCAGAUCCGGCCGACGCCUUUCAUCUCCGGGCUGCAGACAUGCGCGUCCUCUUGCGCCGAUCACUGAGGCCAUUGAAUCGAGCGAGAUCCACUCGGUUGCCAAAGUGGAAGAGCAAUUAGGGAUUCAAGGGUUAGGUCAUGGAUUUCUUCCUUGUUCUUGUUGAUUGAAGGUCAGAGAAGUCCCUGGUGUGCAGAAUCUAAUCGAGCGACACCUUCUGGAGACAAUCGAUUGAGGGCAAAGACUAGAGGGGUUGAUGCUUGAUCAGUAGUCUUACUGCUUUAUUCCUUCUUGAUCCGAAUUGUGGAGUGGAAUCAAGCACCUUGCUGUUCUGUUUAUGGUGUACCUUGUUUCCAUAGCUACUCAUCUCACGUCCGGCAGCAACCUAUCCAGUGAGGUGAAUCCAGUGAGGAUUUGUGAAGGUAAUUUUGGUGUCCAGCAGCAUUUCUAGUUUUGGCAGCAACCUUAUUUAGCAGAUUGCUUGGUUUCAGCAAUCUACAGCAGCUUGAUCAAGGUAAGGUGUAUAGGUUUUGUUCUUUGUUUUAGAUAUGAUUUGAUUUCAUGAACAGAUGUAGAUUGGAAUUAGGGUUAUACUUAGUUGUUUAUGUGUAGAAUUAUUUAGCUUAGAAUUAGUUUAAUGGAAUGAUUAGGGUUAAGGUAAUUAACCCUAGU